UUUCAUUAUUGUAAUUAUUAUUAUCACUAUUAUUAUUUUCAUUAUUGUAAUUAUUAUUAUUACUAAGUUUAUUAAAAUAUAGUAAAUUGAGCAGCGAUAUCUUAUCCUACGUCACGGAGGGUCCUAUACAGCUAGUUACAAUCCGGUCCUUUAAACUUUCUUCUAACGGUAAUAAAUGAUCGGUUUCAUUGUUCUCGACAAUUUGUGUGUGUGUGUGAUGGUUAACGCGGAAACGUCGAAAAAGUAUAGGCCUUUAUCCCUCAGGACGAAAAGGUUGAGCAUCACUGCCUUAACGGAUUGUCCACGUUCGAAUCCUAUUAGUCAAUGCUAUACAAUGUCAUUGUUUUUGUUCAGCUUGAAAUAAACUUGAAGUUUCUAGAU